AAUUACGAGCUUUAGCUUAAAACCCAAAGGACUUGACGGUGCCCCACCCAGCUAGAGGAGCCUGUUCUAUAAUCGAUGAUCCCCGCUUAACCUAACCCUUUCUUGCUUUAUCAGCCUGUAUACCUCCGUCGUAAACCCGCCAUAUGAGUGUAUUUAGCGGAUUCAAUGGCCUUAGCACCAGCACGUCAGGUCAAGGUGCAGCCAAUGAAAGAGGUAAGCAAUGGGCUAGAAUUUCUAAUCUAGAACAAACGAACUACUGCAUGAAACACAGUCAUGAAGGAGGAUUUAGUAGUAAAAAGAAAUCAGCGAGUUCUUUUUAACAUGGCCCUGGGGCGUGU
rnacentral:rRNA from 1 species